UCUGCCCUCGAGUGGGGAAUAACACCGGGAAACCGGUGCUAAUACCGCAUACGAUCACGAUGUCUUCGGAUGUUGUGAUGAAAGGAGCAAUUCGCUCUUGGAGGAGCCCGCGGCUGAUUAGCUAGUUGGUGAGGUAAUGGCUCACCAAGGCAUCGAUCAGUAGCCGGUCUGAGAGGACGGUCGGCCACACUGGAACUGAGACACGGUCCAG
rnacentral:rRNA from 1 species